rnacentral:rRNA from 1 species
UACAGGGGGGGCAAGCGUUGUUCGGAAUUACUGGGCGUAAAGGGCUCGUAGGUGGCCAACUAAGUCAGACGUGAAAUCCCUCAGCUUAACUGGGGAACUGCGUCUGAUACUGGAUGGCUUGAGUUUGGGAGAGGGAUGCGGAAUUCCAGGUGUGAGCGGUGAAAUGCGUAGAUAUCUGGAGGAACACCGGUGGCGAAGGCGGCAUCCUGGACCAACACUGACACUGAGGAGCGAAAGCCAGGGGAGCAAACGGG